AGUGAACGCUGGCGGUAGGCCUAACACAUGCAAGUCGAACGGCAGCACAGUAAGAGCUUGCUCUUACGGGUGGCGAGUGGCGGACGGGUGAGGAAUACAUCGGAAUCUACUUUUUCGGGGGGGAUAACGUAGGGAAACUUACGCUAAUACCGCAUACGACCUACGGGUGAAAGCAGUGGAUCUUCGGACCUUUCGCGAUUGAAUGAGCCGAGGUCGGAUUAGCUAGUUGGCUAGGUAAAGGCCCACCAAGGCGACGAUCCGUAGCUGGUCCGAGAGGAUGAUCCGCCCCCCUGGAACUGGGAAACGGUCCAGACUCCUAAGGGAGGGAGGAGUGGGGAAUUUUGGCCAAUGGGCGGAAGGCUGAUCCAGGCAUCCCGCGGGGGUGAAGAAGGCCUUCGGGUUGUAAAGCCCUUUUGUUGGGAAAGAAAAACAGCAGGUUGUAACCCCGCUGUUCUGACGGUAACCAAAGCAUAAGCCCCGGCUAACUUCGUG
rnacentral:rRNA from 1 species